GACGAACGCUGGCGGCGUGCUUAACACAUGCAAGUCGAACGGAAAGGCCCUGCUUUUGUGGGGUGCUCGAGUGGCACACGGGUGAGUAACACGUGAGUAACCUGCCCUUGACUUUGGGAUAACUUCAGGAAACUGGGGCUAAUACCGGAUAGGAGCUCCUGCUGCAUGGUGGGGGUUGGAAAGUUUCGGCGGUUGGGGAUGGACUCGCGGCUUAUCAGCUUGUUGGUGGGGUAGUGGCUUACCAAGGCUUUGACGGGUAGCCGGCCUGAGAGGGUGACCGGCCACAUUGGGACUGAGAUACGGCCCAGACUCCUACGGGAGGCAGCAGUGGGGAAUAUUGCACAAUGGGCGGAAGCCUGAUGCAGCAACGCCGCGUGCGGGAUGACGGCCUUCGGGUUGUAAACCGCUUUCGCCUGUGACGAAGCGUGAGUGACGGUAAUGGGUAAAGAAGCACCGGCUAACUACGUG
rnacentral:rRNA from 1 species